AAAGUCGUAACAAGGUUUCCGUAGGUGAACCUGCGGAAGGAUCAUUAUCGAAUGUAAUCGAGGCGGGGCGACCUGUUGCUGGGACGUCAAGUCCACGUGCACGGUCCCUCGACCUCUUUCAUCCAUUACACACACUUGUGCACUAUAGGACGAGGCCUUCCAUGAGGAGCCGCUCCAUGUAACCUCUCCUCAGGGAGUGGGGGUGGAGUCGAGGCCUCGCUUCCUCUUUCAUACAACAUCCAGUCUUAACGCAUGUAAUCGAUUUUCUUAAACGAAAUACAACUUUCAACAACGGAUCUCUUGGCUUUC
rnacentral:misc_RNA from 1 species